UACGUAGGGUGCGAGCGUUAAUCGGAAUUACUGGGCGUAAAGGGUGCGCAGGCGGCUCCGCAUGUCGGGCGUGAAAUCCCCGGGCUUAACCUGGGAAUUGCGUCCGAAACUAUGGAGCUGGAGUGUGGCAGAGGGAGGUGGAAUUCCACGUGUAGCGGUGAAAUGCGUAGAGAUGUGGAGGAACACCGAUGGCGAAGGCAGCCUCCUGGGCCAACACUGACGCUCAUGCACGGAAGCGUGGGGAGCAAACAGG
rnacentral:rRNA from 1 species